AAAAAAAGAUGAUUAUGAAUAAAUAUCAAGAAAUAUGCUAUCAAGACUAAAGCUACUAUUUCCGAAACGCUCUAUAUGUUUCGCGUAUAUUCGCAGUCACUACGCGAAUUUUGGGAUGGCGUGAUGUUUAUUCAGUAAAGCAAUAACGCGUCCGUUUUAUCGUGAUGGCAGAGCGUGCACGACCAUCCUCGUUGAAAUGUUAAUUCGACGCACCACUGCGCAGCAGGGUUGUUAUGACGUUAGAGGAAGCGGAUGGGAGGACGUGGUUGGCACGGCUGAAAUUUUAAUAGCAAAUCUAUCUAGAAAUCUAUGUACGCGCAAAUACAAUCAUGCGUACGUGUGACGAUGGAUAACGAUAUCGGGAGAUGAAAUCCCGAUUCCGACUCAUCAUAUUGAUCCGGAAAUUCCGUCGGUUAAGUAAAAAAAUAAUAUCUUGCAAAUCCCAAGGGAAUAAAUCACGGUGUGCGUUUAAAUAAUUAUGUCGUAUCUCCGCACGAUAUUCAAAUAAGCGGAAUAAGCGGAAAGGAUUACAUUUAUAUAAAUAUGCAUGUAGAUAUGCAUACGUAUGGGUUCGUCGGGGACAGCGAGCUCAAAAAUACAAAGAAUCGUGACUCGUAAAUCGCGCAAAAUUAAUGAAGAAAUUAAAAAAAAGGGACUUUGAGUAUAUGUCGCUAUAAAAAUGCUGAAUGAAAAGCAAUUAAAAUGCGGUAAUUAAAGCCGCAAUAAAGUUAUAAUAAAAUUAAUCCGUUCCGUUAAUCUUCUAAGAGAGCUUUUUCAUUUCUAGAUAAAAAAAUUAAUAAAUUGUUAUUUGCUCAUUGAAUUUAUAUAUUGAGAGUCGGAAUAAUGAAUUAUAUUCAGCAUAAAAUACGAUAACAUUUAUGGAAAAUGAGUUCUUUUUAAAUAAUAUAUUUUCAAUACUAUCUGUGUUUUUUAAUUUCGAGGAAAGCUUAAUCUAAUCAUGUCAAUACUAUGUUAUAUUUAAUCAAUUAUAUUAUUAUUUUAUAUUUAAUCAAUUAUAAAUUUGUUACACCGUGAUAAUGUAUCAGCUGUGCAAUGUUAUUCUGCCCGGUGUAAAAUGAUGUGUACACAACAUGCGUCGACACAAAGUGCUCGGAUGCAGCACUUGUGUAACCGUACGAUGCCAAAGUAAUGCGUCAUUAGCUUGGCAAAGUGAAACCUUGUUGACAUACGUGGUCGUUAAUAUAUAAACCUGAGCUGCACUAAUUAGUACGUGCUCAGACUUUGAUAGCAAUCAGGCACGACAGGUAUCCAAAUUCAAGGUAGACAGAGUGGCGACCGAAAUCACGUGAUCGAGCAUCUUAAUUUUAGCUAAAGUGUUGAUUCGGUUAGGUGACUACCGUGCAAUCGAGACCGAGAUCACCAGCAGUGGGAAUCAAACGUGAAUAUUACUAAUUAAGUGAUGUUAACCAUAAAGACA